rnacentral:tRNA from 1 species
UCCCUUGUAGUUCAGUUGGUAAAGAAUCUGCCUGCAGUGCAGGAGACCUGGGUUCGAUUCCUGGGUUGGGAA